CCCUUAGACGUUCUGGGCCGCACGCGCGCUACACUGACCAGUGCAACAAGCAUCCGUCCUUGGCCGACAGGCCCGGGCAAUCUUUGAACGCUGGUCGUGAUGGGGAUAGACUUUUGCAAUUUUUGGUCUUCAACGAGGUAUUCCUAGUAAACGCAAGUCAUCAACUUGCAUUGAUUACGUCCCUGCCCUUUGUACACACCGCCCGUCGCACCUACCGAUUGAAUGGUCCGGUGAAGCCUCCGGAUUGGCGCGCACCUCGGUGCCGCCGAGAAGUUGGCUAAACCUUACCAUUUAGAGGAAGGUGAAGUCGUAACA
rnacentral:rRNA from 1 species